rnacentral:lncRNA from 1 species
AAGAUUCCUCACAGUCACAAGAGGAAGUAUGAGCUAGCACAUCAAGUUCAUCCCAUAAAUCUUUCAUUUUUGUGUAAUAACUAGUAACAGAACCUAUACCUUGUCUGAGAGUCGCAAUUGCACUCCACAAAUGAUAGAUCUAGUGAGAUUAGAUCUAUUAAAUCUCUCCUGAAAAUCGCUCUAGACUUUCUUUGCAUUUGACAUGUACACGAUACUCGAC